rnacentral:lncRNA from 1 species
UUUAUAUUGUACCAAAUAGGUAGUUUUUUCAUCCCUCAUCCACCUCCCACUCUCUGCUUCUGAGUCUCCAAAGUCCAUUACAUCACUCUGUAUGCCUUUGCAUACGCAUAGCUUAACUCCCACUUAUAAGUGAAAAAUAAUAGUAUUUUAUUUUCCAUUCUUGAGUUAUUUCACUUAAAAUAAUGGCCUCAUAUCCCUUGCCCUGAAAUUAACAGCCAGCAGGGGUGUCCUCAGUAUCAAAACAAGUCGACCACACAAAGCCGUCAAAGACUCCAGGAACCCAGGUCCAUGGGGUGCAGCCCUGCAAGGUGGAAAAGCUGACCAAGUCUUCCUUCCAGCCAAAUCUGGAAGAAAGGCCCCUUGCCUGGAGCAGUGUUCCUGGUACCCAGGCCUCUGUGGGCAUCCCUCAGCACAAAGACCCUCUCCAAGGGGCAUGGGCCGGCCCUUCCAGGACCACCAGCCCAGCUCCAGAAGCCCAUGGGUCAUCCCCACCCUCACCUGACUGAGCUGUCCCUGAGGCUAAGGCCCAGCAGCAUGAAGAGACUUCCACAGAAACCAGGGCAAUAGGCUGCUCUCUGGCGGCACUGGGGGCUCAGGGUCUGGCUAGCCUGUCCCUGGCUCAAGUCACAUGCCUGGAAAUUAGGGUUUUCUCCUCUGCUCUUAGCAUCUCCUGGGUAAACCAAUAAUUACCCUCCUUCAUGUCUCAAAAUUCACAUCCAUGUAAAAGGCUCUGGUGAGGGUGACAUUUCCAGGAAGCCACAGCCCAUGUCAACCCCCUGCAAAGCUGUGACCUUGUCCGCGGGCAGGUGAGGCGGCGGAGUUCUCCCAAAAGCCGGUGAACUGGCGCUCUGGCUGGAGAGCGCGGAGGGCGGCAGCACAAUGGACAGCGUCUGGGACCUCAGGCCAGUUCCACAGCAGCCUAGGAAAGCAGGCGGCUCCUGUGCUGGAGGAGGCGUGAUGCUCUGGAGGGAAACCGAGCUGAGCAGCGAGAGGUGGGGUGAGGCUGAGACCCGCCCGAUUUAGGCAAAGAUGAGGUGCACUUCGCAGCGUCACACUCUUCUCACUGCCCAGCCCCGACUUGCCCCUUAAGUCCCUCUCUGGACUCACUCCCCUUAGCCAGGGAUGGCACAGAAUCAGUGGCCAGCAUAGGUUUGGAAGCAGAGAGGUCCACACGGCUUGCGCCUCCCUCCGGGACUGCUCACCACCCCGCAGCCCGGCGCUUGCUGGGACUGUAGGCCGGUAGCCCUGCGACCAACAGCCGAAAGCGGUUAAGAAACUACUCCCAGAAUGCCUGGCGAGGCGCGCACCACGCGGCCCCUUCCUCCAGGCAUUCGCACCACCCCCCACUCCCGUUGCAUGCUGGGAUUGUAGUUGAUCGCCUGCGAUCAACGGCCGGAAGCGGCUAAAACUACUCCUGCCUGCAUACCCCGCAGGAGCAAACCGCGCCAUGUCUCCCUCCAGGGAUCCGCACCGCUCACAAUCCUGUUUAGUGCUGGGAUUGUAGUCCUGCGAGCCUACGACUAAUAGCUGGAUUAACUCUUAAGUACUCCACAACUACACGCUUUUGAAACUGGCGUUGGCAUAGCGUUAGUUCUGUGCAGGGCGGACGCAGCAGGACAGAAUCUCCCUGGGCAUCUUUUCGGAGCAUCAAUUUUACUGCAAAAUUUUGAAAAAACAAAUUUAAUUGAUUUCCAAGGUUUGUCAAGGAGGACAGAAACUCAGAGCACCCUGCACUUGGGGAUCGGCACUAGGAGCUGCUCUCUGGAUGGGGAGAUGGGAGCUAGCAGCUCACAAUGGGGUCACAAGACAGGAGUGUUAUUGGGAGAAUCCUGUUUUGUUGACAAAUACUGAGAUCAUCCAACUCACCAGGCAAAGUUGACUUGUGUAAGUGAUCUUCAGAUAUGAAAAGUGUGGAACCCAGCUGCUCCUCCUCAGAUAGGCGACAUGACAAUUGUAGGCCUGGAGGGAGAUGAGUUGACAACAUCCCUUCCCUAUAACCACUUGUUGGAUCUGAUCUCACAUACACAGACUCACUCCAAAGACUGACCUGGGUGUCUGCUUCUCAGCUUCAUUAACAGUGGGUGCUCACAAGUCUAGUGGAGAGAAUGUCUGAGAAGAGGAGGACCUUGACUGCUCCUGAACCGGAGACCUCAGAACCAUGGUGCUCUCCUGUCCAGGCUGAACACUAAUGCUCUUGAGAGUCACAUUGAAGAAAGCCAACAUUUUUAAAUCUAAUGGAUACAUUCAUUUUGUGGUAUGUGAUGUUUAGAAAGAGGGAGCUAAAGUUAGUGGUCAUGAGCUAAAUACCCUGUGAGUAGUAACAGGAUCUUCUACACUGUAGCUGCUUCCAGUGUGAGCCAGACAAAUGUACUGAAUAUAGGCCUCAGAGGUGAUCCCACCACCUUCACAGCAAUGGUCCUUCCCCAGGAGCUUCCCCUGAGAAACGGGCCAUCCAGACCAUACUGCUGCUGGUAAGUUUCUCUGUGGUCCUCUGUUGGGUGGAUUUCAUCAUCUCCUUCUCCUCAGCAAUGUUGUGGGCAUAUGGCCCAAUCAACCAGCAAGUUCAGAGUCUUGUAGUCAAUGUCUAUGCCGUGAUCAGUCCUCUGGUGCUCCUCACUUCAGAUAAAAGAA